rnacentral:rRNA from 1 species
AUUGAACGCUGGCGGCAUGCCUUACACAUGCAAGUCGAACGGCAGCGGGCCUUCGGGUGCCGGCGGGUGGCGAACGGGUGAGUAAUGCAUCGGAACGUGCCAUUGAGUGGGGGGAUAACGUAGCGAAAGUUGCGCUAAUACCGCAUAUUCUGUGAGCAGGAAAGCAGGGGACCGCAAGGCCUUGCGCUCUUUGAGCGGCCGAUGUCAGAUUAGCUAGUUGGUGAGGUAAAGGCUUACCAAGGCGACGAUCUGUAGCGGGUCUGAGAGGAUGAUCCGCCACACUGGAACUGAGACACGGUCCAGACUCCUACGGGAGGCAGCAGUGGGGAAUUUUGGACAAUGGGGGGCAACCCUGAUCCAGCCAUGCCGCGUGAGUGAAGAAGGCCUCGG